GACGAACGCUGGCGGCGUGCCUAAUACAUGCAAGUAGAACGCUGAAGCUUGGUGCUUGCACCGAGCGGAUGAGUUGCGAACGGGUGAGUAACGCGUAGGUAACCUGCCUGGUAGCGGGGGAUAACUAUUGGAAACGAUAGCUAAUACCGCAUAAAAUGGAUUAUCGCAUGAUAAUCCAUUGAAAGGUGCAAAUGCAUCACUACCAGAUGGACCUGCGUUGUAUUAGCUAGUUGGUGGGGUAACGGCUCACCAAGGCGACGAUACAUAGCCGACCUGAGAGGGUGAUCGGCCACACUGGGGCUGAGACACGGCCCAGACUCCUACGGGAGGCAGCAGUAGGGAAUCUUCGGCAAUGGACGGAAGUCUGACCGAGCAACGCCGCGUGAGUGGAGAAGGUUUUCGGAUCGUAAAGCUCUGUUGUAAGAGAAGAACGAGUGUGAGAGUGGAAAGUUCACACUGUGACGGUAUCUUACCAGA
rnacentral:rRNA from 1 species